rnacentral:rRNA from 1 species
GACGUAGGGCGCGAGCGUUGUCCGGAUUUAUUGGGCGUAAAGAGCUCGUAGGCGGUCUGUCGCGUCGGCUGUGAAAACCCGGAGCUCAACUCCGGGCCUGCAGUCGAUACGGGCAGACUGGAGUUCGGCAGGGGAGACUGGAAUUCCUGGUGUAGCGGUGAAAUGCGCAGAUAUCAGGAGGAACACCGGUGGCGAAGGCGGGUCUCUGGGCCGAUGACUGACGCUGGAGGGAGCGAAAGCGUGGGGGGAGCGAAACAGGA